UCAUAUCACGUUAAAGCACAGAUUCUCGUUCGAUUACUGAAGUUAAGCAAUGUCGAGCCUGGUCAGUACCUAGAUGAAUGACCGCUUGGGGAUACCAGGUAUAGU